rnacentral:lncRNA from 1 species
AUGAAGCUGCCUGUUGAUGAUCCCAUCAGCACCAAUUUCAAGCAUGGAAUCACUCCGCUCUCCUGCUGCAUGCGUCCUCAUCAUCCAACAACAGUGAGGUCGACUGCAUCCGAUUCCACCACCUUCCUCCCUCAAAACCCACCUCAUAUUGUAGUUACAGGUGUUUUAUGCUUAAAAAUUAUGGUUUUAUCAAAGUUCCACG